ACAAGCGGUGGAUGAUGUGGUUUAAUUCGAUGCAACGCGAAAACCUUACCCACCUUUGACAUGUACGGAAUCCUUUAGAGAUAGAGGAGUGCUCGAAAGAGAGCCGUAACACAGGUGCUGCAUGGCUGUCGUCAGCUCGUGUCGUGAGAUGUUGGGUUAAGUCCCGCAACGAGCGCAACCCUUGUCAUUAGUUGCUACAUUCAGUUGGGCACUCUAAUGAGACUGCCGGUGACAAACCGGAGGAAGGUGGGGAUGACGUCAAGUCCUCAUGGCCUUUAUGACCAGGGCUACACACGUACUACAAUGGCCGGUACAAAGGGCAGCGACACAGCGAUGUGAAGCCAAUCCCGAAAAGCCGGUCUCAGUCCGGAUUGGAGUCUGCAACUCGACUCCAUGAAGUUGGAAUCGCUAGUAAUCGCGGAUCAGCACGCCGCGGUGAAUACGUUCCCGGGCCUU
rnacentral:rRNA from 1 species